UACGUAGGGGGCUAGCGUUGUCCGGAAUCAUUGGGCGUAAAGAGCGUGUAGGCGGCUCGGUAAGUCCGCUGUGAAAGUCCAGGGCUCAACCCUGGAAUGCCAGUGGAAACGUGUCGAGCUAGAGUCCGGAAGAGGCGAGUGGAAUUCCUGGUGUAGCGGUGAAAUGCGCAGAUAUCAGGAGGAACACCAAUGGCGAAGGCAGCUCGCUGGGACGGUACUGACGCUGAGACGCGAAAGCGUGGGGAGCAAACAGG
rnacentral:rRNA from 1 species